rnacentral:tRNA from 1 species
GCGGGUGUAGCUUAGUGGUAAAGCCUCGGCCUUCCAAGCCGAUCACGCGGGUUCGAUUCCCGCCACCCGCU